rnacentral:rRNA from 1 species
UACGGAGGGUGCAAGCGUUGUCCGGAUUUAUUGGGUUUAAAGGGUGCGUAGGCGGCUUGAUAAGUCCGUGGUGAAAGCCAACAGCUCAACUGUUGAACUGCCAUGGAUACUGUCAGGCUUGAGUACAGACGAGGUAGGCGGAAUGGAUCGUGUAGCGGUGAAAUGCAUAGAUACGAUCCAGAACUCCGAUUGCGAAGGCAGCUUACUAGGCUGUAACUGACGCUGAGGCACGAAAGCGUGGGGAUCAAACAGG